rnacentral:rRNA from 1 species
AACAGAAGGGAGCUUGCUCCCGGAUGUUAGCGGCGGACGGGUGAGUAACACGUGGGUAACCUGCCUGUAAGACUGGGAUAACUCCGGGAAACCGGAGCUAAUACCGGAUAGUUCCUUGAACCGCAUGGUUCAAGGAUGAAAGACGGUUUCGGCUGUCACUUACAGAUGGACCCGCGGCGCAUUAGCUAGUUGGUGGGGUAAUGGCUCACCAAGGCGACGAUGCGUAGCCGACCUGAGAGGGUGAUCGGCCACACUGGGACUGAGACACGGCCCAGACUCCUACGGGAGGCAGCAGUAGGGAAUCUUCCGCAAUGGACGAAAGUCUGACGGAGCAACGCCGCGUGAUUGAUGAAGGUUUACGGAUCGUAAGCUCUGUUGUAGGGAAGANNUUUUUAGAGU